rnacentral:rRNA from 1 species
AGAUUAAGCCAUGCAUGUCUAAGUAUAAGCAAUUAUACAGCGAAACUGCGAAUGGCUCAUUAUAUAAGUUAUCGUUUAUUUGAUAGUACCUUACUACUUGGAUAACCGUGGUAAUUCUAGAGCUAAUACAUGCUGAAAAUCCCGACUUCGGAAGGGAUGUAUUUAUUAGAUUAAAAACCAAUGCCCUCUGGGCUCCUUGGUGAUUCAUAAUAACUUUUCGAAUCGCACGGCCUUGCGCCGGCGAUGGUUCAUUCAAAUUUCUUCCCUAUCAACUUUCGAUGUUUGGGUAUUGGCCAAACAUGGUCGCAACGGGUAACGGAGGGUUAGGGCUCGACCCCGGAGAAGGAGCCUGAGAAACGGCUACUACAUCCAAGGAAGGCAGCAGGCGCGCAAAUUACCCAAUCCCGAUUCGGGGAGGUAGUGACAAUAAAUACUGAUACAGGGCUCUUUUGGGUCUUGUAAUUGGAAUGAGUACAAUUUAAAUCUCUUAACGAGGAACAAUUGGAGGGCAAGUCUGGUGCCAGCAGCCGCGGUAAUUCCAGCUCCAAUAGCGUAUAUUAAAGUUGUUGUGGUUAAAAAGCUCGUAGUUGAACCUUGGGCCUGGCUGGCCGGUCCGCCUCACCGCGUGUACUGGUCCGGCCGGGCCUUUCCCUCUGUGGAACCUCAUGCCCUUCACUGGGUGUGGCGGGGAAACAGGACUUUUACUUUGAAAAAAUUAGAGUGCUCCAGGCAGGCCUAUGCUCGAAUACAUUAGCAUGGAAUAAUAAAAUAGGACGUGUGGUUCUAUUUUGUUGGUUUCUAGGACCGCCGUAAUGAUUAAUAGGGACAGUCGGGGGCAUCAGUAUUCAAUUGUCAGAGGUGAAAUUCUUGGAUUUAUUGAAGACUAACUACUGCGAAAGCAUUUGCCAAGGAUGUUUUCAUUUAUCAGGAACGAAAGUUAGGGGAUCGAAGACGAUCAGAUACCGUCGUAGUCUUAACCAUAAACUAUGCCGACUAGGGAUCGGACGAUGUUAUUUUUU